ensembl:lncRNA
CCCAGUCUGUAUUCAAGAGUAUUUUGUGUCUCAACCGACUGCGAAAACAGAACAAACACCUCAGUACGAAAGACUAUUGAGACUCCCGCCCACCGGGAGCAGAGCAUGCUGGGUGAUCUCUAACUGAGGAGAAGGUAGUAAGGAGAGAAAGUACAGAAGCGGUGAUAAGUCAAAUCAAAUCUAAUUUUAUUGGUCACGUACACAUGGUUAGCAGAUGUUAAUGCGAGUGUAGAGAAAUGCUUGUGUUGCUGGUUCCAACAGUGCAGUAAUAACAAGUAAUCUAACAAUUCUCCAACCUAAUACACACAUAUCUAAAGGGAUGGAAUACGAAAAUGUACAUAUGGAUGAGCGAUUGCCGAGCGGCAUAGUCAAGGUGCAAUAGAUGGUAUAAGAACCGUACACACUCUUGGUUAAAACACAAUUGUCAAGCAAUACACUGUGCUGUGCCGUUACUGCUCUAUGUGAAUCAGCGUCAUUAAACAACCUCAACUGGAAUCCUACCGGUCUGUCAUCUGUGCCCUUACCAGCACCUGGAAGAGAACGCAGUGCUAAGUAAAACCUAACCCUAAAGAAUAUCCAGUCCACCAAGUCCUCAACUACAACUUCCGAAGAUUUAAAAUAGGGUCUAAGCUGCAACAUAAACUCAGCAAAAAAAUAAACAUCCUCUCACUGUCAACUGCGUUUAUUUUCAGCAAACUUAACAUGUGUAAAUAUUUGUAUUAACAUAAUAUUUAACAACUGAGGCAUAAACUGAACAAGUUCCACAGACGUGACAAACAGAAAUGGAAUAAUGUGUCCCUGAACAAAGGGGGGGGGGGGGUCAAAAUCAAAAGUUAACAGUCAGUAUCUGGUGUGGCCACCAACUGCAUUAAGUACAGCAGUGCAUCUCCUCCUCAUGGACUGCACCAGAUUUGCAAGUUCUUGCUGUGAGGUGUUACCCCACUCUUCCACCAAGGCACAUGCAAGUUCCCAGACAUUUCUGGGGGAAUGGCCGUAGCUCACACCCUCCGAUCCAACAGGUCCCAGACGUGCUCAUUGGGAUUGAGGUCCAGGCCCUUCACUGGCCAUGGCAGAACACUGACAUUCCUGUCUUGCAGGAACUCACGCACAAAACGAGCAGUAUGGCUGAUGGCAUUGUCAUGCUGGAGGGUCAUGUCAGGAUGAGCCUGCAGGAAGGGUACCACAUGAGGGAGGAGGAUGUCUUCCCUGUAACUCACAGCGUUGAGAUUGCCUGCAAUGACAACAAGCUCAGUCCGAUGAUGCUGUGACACACCGCCCCAGAUCAUGACGGACCCUUCACCUCCAAAUCGAUCCCGCUCCAGAGUACAGGGUUCGGUGUAACACUCAUUCCUUCGACGAUAAACGCGAAUCCAACCAUCACCCCUGGUGAGACAAAACCGCAACUCGUCAGUGAAGAGCACUUUUUGCCAGUCCUGCCUGGUCCGGUGGGAACGGUGGGUUUGUGCCCAUAGGCAACGUUGUUGCCGGUGAUGUCUGGUGAGGACCUAACUGACCUACCAUCUGUAAGCUGUUAGUAUCUUAACGACCGUUCCACAGGUGCAUGCUCAUUAAUUGUUUAUGGUUCAUUGAACAAGCAUGGGAAACCGUGUCUAAACCCUUUACAAUGAAGAUCUGUGAAGUUAUUUGGAUUUUUACGAAGUAUCUUUGAAAGACUGUCCUGAAAAGGGGAUGUAUCUUUUUUUUGCUGAGUUUAUAUAAGCACAAAAAAAUAAAAACUCACCUGUUGAUAUCAAUGGUACACCAUUAGAGAUCAAGUUAUUCUGUACCUUAGCUUUGAAAUGUUUUGAUAAUUUGAUAUCCUUGCUCGCUGUGUACAAUACUGGAGCUGGCACCUUGCCAUGGUGGGGUAGAUUGCACGUUUUUGUGAUGUGUCCCUGUGGGCUGUAACAACAGCAACCGAAUUUAGGCUCUUGCAGGUUUAACAAUCCAGUCGUGCCAAUAAUCACAGUAAUGCUUACCCUCUUGUUUAUUAUUGCUUUAUUUGACAGCCGGAGGAAGCACACAGUACCUUUUAGAAAAUGAAGUUGAUUUUUACAUUCAUAGGCUGUCUGUUGAUAAAGCCUGAAAUCUGUUACAAAUGGAGAUACUGAGGAGCUGAACUUGCACUACGGAAAAACAAAUGCUAAGAGAAAGGGAUAAGGGCGUAAAAUAGAGAAAGAGUGGUGGUUAGAGAGAGGAAGAGACAGCGAGAAAACUAAGACAGAAAAAGACAAGUAUAUAUGCUUAGGGAGGUAAAAAUAAGAAGCUUAGAUAGAUGGAGAGAAUGUAGGAGAGAGAGGGGGGGGCAAAUGCAUUGGUGUCAGUGCAGCCACUUCCUGUGAUCAGAGAGAGAGAGAGAAAUGAAGAGAGCCCUCUAGAGCUAGCGCCCAUCAUUCAGCCCAAGACAUAAAGAGAGGGAUCAUCACCCGUGUCCUUGCAGAGAAAUAGAGAAAAGAGGAUGACCAUUACAUGGAGGACAGGUGUCAUGCUGAUGCUGAUGUUUUUUUCUUCUGCAGGUAAGUGCCAACCUAGAUGUAUUACGGUAGUCACUAAAUAGCCAUGGUAGACUGCACAGAAGUGGCGAUACCAUCAAAACUGUUCAGCAAGUAUAUGAGCUGUUGGUUCUGAAUUCAUGUGGGAGGGCUAAGGUUAGGAAAAUGGUACAUUAAAGUUGUUCGUUUGGUUAUAAAUAGACUUCAAUGCUUUCUUGUGUGGCUAGAUAGUACGUUUCCUGUGCUACUGUGUAUAUGCUCUGUCCAAAGCCCUUCGAUGGCGUUCCUCUCCCACCCUCACCGCCUUCACCUCCUUACCCACCCAGAGGUGCUCUAUCCUGAGUACGGAGAGUGUCCUCCCCCUGGUCAGGAGAGAGAGGCAGGCUCCAGGAGAUUUAGUGCUCUGUACCCUACCUAUCUGUUCAUGUUUGUGAUUGAGUGGCUACCUUUCUACGCAUCUAUUUUUAGAGUCUGCGAAGAACAUGAAAGCUUAGACGUGGCCUUGUUCGUUUCCGCAUUACCAGAAUGGCAAAGUCACAGACAUACACAUAUGCGAAAGAGUAGCACCUGUUGGUGUUUGAUAACUGAAAACUAGAGAGUGAUUAUUCUGAGACAGUGUUGCUGCU